rnacentral:rRNA from 1 species
AUUUUGAGUUUGAUCCUAGCUCAGAGUUAACGUUUUUAGCAUACAUUACACAUGCGAAUUGAAUGUUUAGCAUAAUGAAUGGGUGAGUAUAACAAUAGUAACUUACUUUUUGAUAUGUGGGAUAAAAUACCUUGUAAUAGAGUAAACUCAUCAAAAAAUAGGCUAUUGCAGAAUUAGGUAGUUGGUUUUUUAAUAGAUUACCAAGCCGAUGAUUCUUAGUUGAUUCGAAACGAUUGUUCAACCACACUAGAACUGAGACAAGGCCUAGUCUUUAUUUAAAAAGACUGCAGUGAGGGAUUUUGGGCAAUGAGUGAAGGCUUGACCCAGUAAUGCUAAAUGGCUGAAGAAGGUUUCAUUUCUGUAAAAGUCGCCUUUUUAGGGAGAGAAUGACUUUACUGAAGAAAGAAUCCCAACUAACUUCGUGCCAGCAGUUGCGGUAAAACGGAGGGGGUUAACGUUACUUAUACUUAUUUGGCGUAAAGUGUUCGUAGGUGGUUUUUGGUUGUUAUACGUAAAAGAUUGAAUUCAACUUCAAAAUAGCGUAUAAAACACAAGGACUAGAGUUUGAUAAAAGUUUAAUAGAAUUUUAUAUGAAGGGGUAAAAUCCAAAGAAAUAUAAAAGAAUAUCAAUAGGCGCAGGCAAUUUGCUAUAUUCUUACUGACAUUGAGGAACGAAAGCAUGAUUAUCGAAUGGGAUUAGGUACCCCAGUAGUUUAUGCCGUAAAUGAUGAGUGUUAAAGCUUAAAUUAUCUUUAAUUGAGUUUUUUGUUAACGCGUUAAACAUUCCGCCUGAAAAAUAUAAUCGCAAGAUUGAAAUUUAAAGGAAUUGGCGGGGAUUAAAACAAGUGGUGGAGCAUGUUGUUUAAUUUGAUAAUACGCAUGAAACCUUACCAACAUUUGACAGUAAAUGAGUAGUCUUCUACUUUUUUUGAAAAAUUUUUAUACAGGUGUUGCAUGGUUGUCGUCAGUUCGUGUUGUGAAAUGUUAGAUUUAUUUCUAAAACGAACGAAACCCUUACCCUUUAUUUUCUUGUUUUGUUAUUGUAAAACAGACACCAUAAGGAGAAAUUUGUGGAUAAGCUAAUUGAAAAAAGGAUCACGUCAAAUCUUUAUAACCCUUAUUUGUUGGGCUACAAACGUGCUACAAAAGAAAUUACAAAAAGAAGCAAUGGGAAGGAAUACACUUAGAGCAAAACUUAAAAAAUUUUUUAUUCGAAUUGCAGGCUGAAACUCGCUUGCAUGAAGAAGGAAUCACAAGUAAUCGUAAAUUAGCAUGUUUCGGUGAAAAAGUUACUUAGUCUUGUACACACCGCCCGUCACAACUUGGUAAUUUUUUCUUUUUAAAAAAACAAAAAUAACAAAAACGGUUUGGUUUUUUGGCUUUUUGUUUUUAGAUUUGAAAGUGUGACUGAGUUGAAGUCGUAACAAGGUAGUUGUACGGGAACGUGCAGCUGGAUAA